GUGUCAGCCGCCGCGGUAAUACGGAGGGUGCAAGCGUUAUCCGGAUUUAUUGGGUUUAAAGGGUCCGUAGGCGGAUCUGUAAGUCAGUGGUGAAAUCUCACAGCUUAACUGUGAAACUGCCAUUGAUACUGCAGGUCUUGAGUGUUGUUGAAGUAGCUGGAAUAAGUAGUGUAGCGGUGAAAUGCAUAGAUAUUACUUAGAACACCAAUUGCGAAGGCAGGUUACUAAGCAACAACUGACGCUGAUGGACGAAAGCGUGGGGAGCGAACAGGAUUAGAAACCCCCGUAGUCC
rnacentral:rRNA from 1 species